ACUACGGGUGGCUGCAGUGGGGGAUAUUGCACAAUGGGGGAAACCCUGAUGCAGGGACGCCGCGUGAGUGAAGAAGUAUUUCGGUAUGUAAAGCUCUAUCAGCAGGGAAGAAAAUGACAGUACCUGACCAAGAAGCCCCGGCUAACUACGUGCCAGCAGCCGCGGUAAUACGUAGGGGGCAAGCGUUAUCCGGAUUUACUGGGUGUAAAGGGAGCGUAGACGGUUAUGUAAGUCUGGAGGGAAAGCCCGGGGCACAACCCCGGGACUGCUUUGGAAACUGUGUAACUGGAGUACAGGAGGGGCAGGCGGAAUUCCUGGUGUAGCGGUGAAAUGCGUAGAUAUCAGGAGGAACACCGGCGGCGAAGGCGGCCUGCUGGACUGAAACUGACGUUGAGGCUCGAAAGCGUGGGGAGCAAACAGGAUUAGAUACCCCUGUAGUC
rnacentral:rRNA from 1 species